rnacentral:rRNA from 1 species
AUGGAUACAUCUUUGAUCCCCGAGAAUGCAAACAGAGAAAAAUUCAUAGAGAUGCUGCUAGUAGACAUUAUAACUGAUGAUAACAAGGACAAAAAGGACAGAGGACUAACAGCAGCUCCUGCGUUGAUGGCUCUAUGCUCCAAAACUGAAACGGGUGCCAGGAGUAUCAUUAUGGCCAAUGAUAAUGUCGUUAAUAGUCUCGCUAUAAUGAUUCUUGAAAAGGGUAGUUUCCAAUUUACUGCAGCAAAAAUCCUGAAAUCUCUAUGUAUUCAUCACGCCAAUGAUGAUGCAAGUCACAAAAGGCUAAAGAAAGUCAUGAGAGAUGUAGUUCCAAAGGUGCUUGAAGAGAUAGUUUGUUGGGCAUCAGAAGAAACACGUGCAGUAAUAGAAGCUGACAAAGUCAGGUCCACGGAACCAGAAACUGACCUUGAAAACCAGUCUGGUGUUCCACAAGAUAAUGGCCAGGGCAACAGCACGUCUUCCUCUAAUCAGCAAGACCACAAGAUGACCGAGUAUGGGGUGACUUGCAUGUUAUCCUUUUGUGUCACAGUAUGCGACACGUUGAUCAGUGCAGAUCAGGACUUGACUCCUCAGUUUGAAUCAACUAUCCCUAUGGAUGAUGGUUUAUCUAGCUUCCCAAUGAAGCUCCAGCAGAUUGUAAGCAAAAAUAUGCAUCACAAGCCUGACUGCCUGACAAUUGUGAAGCUUGCAUGUAAGAUGGUCAUAUCAAUGAUGAAACACAUGGGCAGCUAUGUCAAAGAGGAUCUGCAGAGCUUGAUGGAUACACUGUCCACCGCUUCGAAUGACAUGUUUCUUCUUGAUGGCUCCAUGGUUUUUGACAUUACGGAAGAUGACGAAACGACACCGGGGCCUUUCAGGAGUCUCGCUUCCCUCGUGAAAGAAGCACAGGAACUAGUUGACAAAAGGAUUGAACUUUGA